rnacentral:rRNA from 1 species
UACGGGGGGAGCAAGCGUUGUUCGGAUUUACUGGGCGUAAAGGGCGCGUAGGCGGCCACGACAAGUCACUUGUGAAAUCUCCGGGCUUAACUCGGAACGGUCAAGUGAUACUGUCGGGCUAGAGUGCAGAAGGGGCAACUGGAAUUCUCGGUGUAGCGGUGAAAUGCGUAGAUAUCAAGAGGAACACCUGCGGCGAAGGCGGGUUGCUGGGCCGACACUGACGCUGAGGCGCGAAAGCUAGGGGAGCGAACGGG